GAUGUGUCCCAUCCACCCGCAGCCUCCCCCUCCAGUCCCCUCCUUCCUAGGAGAUCUGUCCCAUCCACCCACCUCCUUGAUUUGCCAACUGAGCCAACUAGCACGCCGCCGCACACCUCUCCGUGAUCCCCUCGUCCCUGGCCUGCUCGAGUAGUCAAUGGUUGGCUACCGCGACGAGCCUGCUGCCCUUGGAUGUGUCCAGCGCCCGCAGAGGCAGUCGCCCGAAUAGCUUCCGCUCCUCAAGCCGGAGCUAGAAUCGCCCGCCGCCGCGCACUCAAGCCGAUCGUGUUGUUGCCAGUGCUACUCCAGGCCGUCCCCGCAUCGCCUCUAGCCAACAGCAACGCCAAGGCUAUCAUCUGAGGAGCUCGAAGCUGCCGCCGUGGAGACCGGCGCCCCUGUCGUUCCGUGCGUUUCCUUCAUCGGACUAGCGCUAUGCCCGUCGUGGCCUUGCUCCUCGCCCUAUCCAGCGUCACGCCCGUCCGUGCCAGAGCUCGAGGCAGCCACCUCCUCUACUUCGCCCCCCUAGAGCAAGCCAGCACGGGAUGAGCUCCUCAACCGCGCCAGCCAGCGAACCCGCGCCCUGCUCAUGCGCGCGCCCCAGUUGUUGGACUAGCAGAUGAGCACCGUCGCUUUCCUCUUCCCUUCCCUUGUACUUCCUUCUCUCUAAUCCAUCUCUCUCUCUUUGUGGUGUACCAGGGGAAACAGCCGCAUCCGAUGCCAGCUCCGUCUCCGGUGGUGGAGCUCCGCCCCAUCGUCCCGUCGCCCGCCCGUGUUCUCGUCAAGCAAUUGGACCCCUCCCUCCAUGUGCCCUCCACCGUGGAGCUCCACCUCUGAGGGAUUCUAGCUCCGGCUUGAGGAGCGGAAGCUACUUUGUUUUGCACCCACACCUGCACCCUGAUGUAGUUAUGAUAAAUCUAACUAAGAUCCCAAAUUAUAUCACAAAUAGUGUGUAGCCGAGUUGUCUAGAGCAUUCGGGCUCCACCGCGAGGUCCUAGGUUUGAAUCCAAUGCACCCUGCAUUUUCAUUUGUUUUGGUUGUCUCGGUUUAUACGGCGUGUGGUUUAUAUAGGACCGAAUCCACCUUGUAUCGUGUGUCUACAUUCCAGUGGGCCAUCAUCCUAGAGGUCCACGGAUCAAAUCCCCAUGGCCUCUCUUUUAUUUUCACCCUAUGUAUUUAUUUUUCUUUUGCAUGCAUGUUGCAUCCGUGUCAUAUGAUUUUGUGUGGCCUGUGUCUCUUAAGACAUGCUA